rnacentral:tRNA from 1 species
GCCUGGAUAGCUCAGUAGGUUAGAGUGCAGUGCUGAUAACACCAAGGUUGCAGGUUUGAUCCCCGUAUGGGAUA